rnacentral:rRNA from 1 species
AUUGAACGCUGGCGGCAGGCUUAACACAUGCAAGUCGAGCGGAGAUGAGGUGCUUGCACCUUAUCUUAGCGGCGGACGGGUGAGUAAUGCUUAGGAAUCUGCCUAUUAGUGGGGGACAACAUUCCGAAAGGAAUGCUAAUACCGCAUACGCCCUACGGGGGAAAGCAGGGGAUCUUCGGACCUUGCGCUAAUAGAUGAGCCUAAGUCGGAUUAGCUAGUUGGUGGGGUAAAGGCCUACCAAGGCGACGACCUGUAGCGGGUCUGAGAGGAUGAUCCGUGACACUGGGACUGAGACACGGCCCAGGCUCCUACGGGAGGCAGCAGUGGUGAAUAUUAGACGAUGGGCGGAAGCCUGAUACAGCCAUGCCGCGUGUGUGAAGAAGGCCUUUUGGUUGUAAAGCACUUUAAGCGAGGAGGAGGCUACCUGGAUUAAUACUCUUAGAUAGUGGACGUUACUCGCAGAAUAAGCACCGGCUAACUCUGUGCCAGCCGCCGCAGUAACAC